UACGGAGGGUGCAAGCGUUGUCCGGAUUUAUUGGGUUUAAAGGGUGCGUAGGCGGGUUAUUAAGUCAGUGGUGAAAGCCGGCAGCUCAACUGUCGAACUGCCAUUGAUACUGAUAGUCUUGAGUAUAGUGGAGGUAGGCGGAAUGGAAGGUGUAGCGGUGAAAUGCAUAGAUAUCUCCCAGAACCCCGAUAGCGUAGGCAGCGUAUUAAGCUAUAACUGACGCUGAGGCACGAAAGCGUGGGGAGCGAACAGG
rnacentral:misc_RNA from 1 species